GGGAAUGUGGCUUAGUGGUAGAGUGCUUGCCUAGCAUGCAUGAAGUCCUGGGUUCAAUUCCUCAGUACCU
rnacentral:tRNA from 1 species